UAACUGAAGAGUUUGAUCAUGGCUCAGAUUGAACGCUGGCGGCAGGCUUAACACAUGCAAGUCGAGCGGGGAAGGGUAGCUUGCUACCUGACCUAGCGGCGGACGGGUGAGUAAUGCUU
rnacentral:rRNA from 1 species